rfam:Hordeum vulgare subsp. vulgare, WGS project CAJW01000000 data, contig: morex_contig_62359
AUACUACUCCCUCCGUUCCAAAAUUCUUGUCUUACAUUUGUCUAUAUAUAAAUGUAUCUAGUCACGUUUUAUUAGUUGAAUACAUUCAUUUUUAAACAAAUAUAAGACAAGAAUUUUAGGACGGAGGGAGUAUGUA